CUCUAAUAUUAUUCCAGAUUAUAUAUUUUACGGAAUAUAUACAGUGAAAUAUUAGAUAUUAAAGGGAUUUAUUCCUUCCUGUGGUAUGUGCAUAACAUAGUAGAAGCAGGUAAAAAUGUAUCAGCAAGCUAUGUAUUAGUAGGCACAGGUUGUAGAAAGUAUGU
rnacentral:ncRNA from 1 species